rnacentral:rRNA from 1 species
AACGCACGCUGGCGGCAUGCCUAACACAUGCCCGUCGAACGAUCCCUUCGGGUCUAGUGGCGCACGGGUGCGUAACGCGUGGGACCCUUCCCUUACGUUCGGAACAACUCCCCGAAAGGGCUGCUAAUACCGGAUAAUGUCUUCGAUCCAAAGAUUUAUCGCCUUUGGAUGUGCCCGCGUUGGAUUAGCUAGCUGGUAGGGUAAAAGCCUAACAAGGCGACGAUCCAUAGCUGGUCAGUGAGAAUGAUCAGCCACCCUGGGACUGAGACACGGCCCAGACGCUUGCGCGAGGGUGCAGUAGGGAGUAUUGCACAUUGGGCAAAAGCCUUAUGCAGCAAUGCCGCGUGAGUGAUGAGUGUCUUAGGGUAGUAAAGCUCUUUUACCCGUGAUGAUAAUGACAGUACCGGGAUAAUAAGCUCCGGCUAACUCCGUG